GUGGGUGUAGCUCAGCUGGCAGAGCACCUGGUUGUGGUCCAGGAUGUCGCGGGUUCAAGUCCCGUCACUCACCC
rnacentral:tRNA from 1 species